UGUGUACGAAAUUGGGAUACUACAUAUAUGGAUACGCAUCAUCGGAAACAGUAUGUACAAUCUUUACUGAUAGAGUUUACUACAGAGAGAGAGAGAGGCCCUAAAUAAUUCCACGAGACGACGGGUCAUGAGUAUGAGACUGCCUUUUGAAAAAUUCGGUGGCCAGGCGCAAGAAUUGCCAAUGGAUCAUAUCUGGAUUUCCUCCUCACAAAUUCUCCCCACUUGUCCCCGAAAUGGGAUCUCCACUCUUCUCUUGUCGUGUAAUGUGGCAGAUACUGCUUCAACCCUAUCCCUGCUUCUUCACUGAAUUCCAGUAUUCUUCUGUUCCGCCUCAAGAUCUCUUCUACUCCAUCCUUUCCUGCCGACCCUGGAGAUGCCGAUGUUAGGAUCGCCACCAGGAGGUUCAGCCAUGGAUGUGGCACCUCCCACUGCCCUUUCGAUCGGAGUUUUACCUCAGACACAUGUACCCUGUCCAAGAAUGCUUCAUAUGCUACCUCCGUUGUAAACAGUGUCGACGUCACGUAGCUUAGCUCUGAUAAUGUUUCUUUCACUUCCUGGAUUGGACAAAUAUAUAUAUAUUUUCAGUUCCAAUGAAUGUCAUCUACCAAAGAAGAUUCUACCGAUUGCUUCUACUCUGUUUUCUCACCUGGUUGAUUACGUCUUUGUUAUCUUGCUUCAAAUACUUGGCUAGCUCCAGACAAUACAGAGUCCUUCCAUCAAACUUGAAUUGGCUUGCUUCUAAAGGCUCUUCUGCGGUGAAAGACAACCUCCAGCUGUUCAGGAGGCCUGUCCUGUUUAUUAUCACAAACCCUUCUAUGUAAUCGAAUUUGUGGCCCUGGGCAGAUAUUAGUUGCUCUUGGUCCUUGGCAAAAGCUGCAAAAUCCAGUUGAUGAACAUUGCUGAUCUGUGGUCCAUGUCGGAAUGCCUGGCCGCUUAUUCCAGCAUUGGACAGAGUACCACCUACAGUUAAAUG
rnacentral:lncRNA from 1 species